rnacentral:rRNA from 1 species
UACGAAGGGGGCUAGCGUUGCUCGGAAUUACUGGGCGUAAAGGGCGCGUAGGCGGGUGUUUAAGUCAGAGAUCAAAUCCCAGGGCUCAACCCUGGAACUGCCUUUGAUACUGGGCACCUAGAGUUCGGGAGAGGUGUGUGGAACUCCGAGUGUAGAGGUGAAAUUCGUAGAUAUUCGGAAGAACACCAGUGGCGAAGGCGACACACUGGCCCGAUACUGACGCUGAGGCGCGAAAGCGUGGGGAGCAAACAGG